ACAUGCACACUAUGUCACGUGAGACCCCAGCACCUGCUGCAUGACAUUGUAUAUGAAGACAUACGUCAAAGGACACAUCCCGACCACUUAGUUUACCUACAGGGAAAUGAUUGAGCUGCCAUUUGUUGAGUGUCUCUCAAAACUCACUCUCUUCUCAAGGGCAGGGGAGAGGGUACUGUGGAGAUGGGUGAGGCACAGGAGAGAGGGGUGAGAAACACGAUAAAAGUGAGUUCUCUGUAAACAGCUUGGUUAAUGGGAACGUGAUGAAGGACUGGUCAUCUUUAUUGACUCACCCAGAGAGAUCGCGUUGUUCUCUCCAUUCCACAUCCACAUCCACAUAGUGAUGUAGUGAGCUAUCUGCUACAGAGACAGUAGAAGAGUAUGAAGCUGGGGGUAGGAUGUUGGCUUUGCCCCAUGUGAGACCUCACAUUCUCCGCGGCCGACGUGAGUAAGACAUUUAAGCAUGUUAACCCUCGCAAGUCUUCCGGUCCAGGCGGCAUCCCUAGCCGCGUUCUCAGAGCAUACGCAGACCAGCUUGCUGGAGUGUUUACGGACAUAUUCAAUCUCUCCCUAUCCAAGUCUACCAGGGUUUUCCCCCUUGCUCUUGUCUGUUUCUAGUUCCUGUUUUCUAGUUUUCACGGGAUGACCAUUCUGCCUGCCCUGACCCUGAGCCUGCCUGC